GACGAACGCUGGCGGCGUGCCUAAUACAUGCAAGUAGAACGCACAGUUUAUACCGUAGCUUGCUACACCAUAGACUGUGAGUUGCGAACGGGUGAGUAACGCGUAGGUAACCUGCCUGGUAGCGGGGGAUAACUAUUGGAAACGAUAGCUAAUACCGCAUAAUAUUAAUUAUUGCAUGAUAAUUAAUUGAAAGGUGCAAUUGCACCACUACCAGAUGGACCUGCGUUGUAUUAGCUAGUAGGUGAGGUAACGGCUCACCUAGGCGACGAUACAUAGCCGACCUGAGAGGGUGAUCGGCCAAACUGGGACUGAGACACGGCCCAGACUCCUACGGGAGGCAGCAGGAGGGAAUCUUCGGCAAUGGACGAAAGUCUGACCGAGCAACGCCGCGUGAGUGAAGAAGGUUUUCGGAUCGUAAAGCUCUGUUGUAAGAGAAGAACGGGUGUGAGAGUGGAAAGUUCACACUGUGACGGUAUCUUACCAGAAAGGGACGGCUAACUACGUG
rnacentral:rRNA from 1 species